rnacentral:lncRNA from 1 species
UUCAUUUUCUUUACAUGUAUGGCACGACACAUUUCUUUUUCCAGCUGUCACACAUGUAACACAUGCUACUUGGUUAGAAAACAUUUUCCACAUGCUAAAUAAAGCCUUCUAGAAGGCUAGCACAUGUUACAUAUGGCUGCCUACGUGGUAGCAGAUCUACAUUUCACGGAUCUAGUAUUUUCCUUGCCAAGGCCGAAGUGAAUUCUUAUAAAAACCCCAAGGCAACUUCUGUAUGAUACUUUUUGGAUGAUAAUAGAGAAAACUCUGCUGAAAUGCAUUGUCAUUUUCUCCUUCCCGAGAGUCACUCCAUGCUUUGCUUUCUCCUCUGCAACUUCCUUCCUUGUGUGAGGGCUUUCUGAGUUGUAGCCAUUCCGUACAAAGCUUGCAUCCGUUCCAAAUCACCUCUGCCAAACACCUUUCUCUGCUGCAACCAUACCAAACACCUCCAUCCAAAUCUGGUAUCGGCAUCUGUCACAGAUCUGCAUCUCGUUUGGAACUGUUCCAUUCAUUUCCAUCGGCUGUUUCACUUCUGCAAGUCUCUACUCUCACGGAUCUACAAGAAUGCAUCAAGCCUUGAUGUAUCAAGUGGUAUUCAAAGCAAGGUUCCAACCAAAACUGUGAGAUAAGUGUCAUUUUCUUCCAUUUCUAUACUGUCAGAAAAUUCCUGCAAUGUCUUGAAUCUGUUCAUGUGUUCUGGUUAUUUGAUUUUGGAAUUUAGGUUCUGUUUGAGUCUCUUUGAUACCAGUUGUGUCUUGCUUGAGUCAUUUACAUUUUUAAUCUGUUAAUCUUUUUUUUUUGAGUCUGUUAGUUUGAGCACCAUAUCAUGUAUGUCACGGUUAUGUGUAUUUGAUUUUUCUGUCAUCAAAUCUGGUUUGAAACCAAGUCUUUACCUAACUGAUAUUGGAGUAAAAAUGGACAUGUCUUGCACUGUCAAAGAGCAAUGACCAUUUCUAUGAGGAGCUUAGGUGCUUAAAUUGUGCCAUCCAUCUCAGAUCUGUUGAUUCGGUGUUCAUUUGUAAUUCUGUUUGAAUGAGGCAAAUUGUUGAAGUUGUGAUUGAUAUUUGGUCUAGUACAUUAUUUUGAAUGUGCCAAAAUGUUAAGCUGAUGUUUUUCCAAAAGAAUACCAAUUAAGCAUUACAUUGCUCUUGCAAUUGCUAUGGUGAUAUAAAUGGAAAUCUAAGUUCGCAUUGCUGGUUGCAGUACACCAAUCUGCAAAAAAAAAAAUUCUUAGUUUGGUUUUUUAUCUGCGUGUCAAAAUUGAUUGAGCAUUUAGAUCAUUGCCAAUCAUCCAAAUUACUUUCUACCAAUUGGAACAACUUUCUUUGACUGUAUUAAAUUCAGUUUAAUUGUGUUCAAGUUGAAUCAACUUUGAUUACAAAAUUUGGCUAGUCUAGUUGCUUAAAAAUGCUUGUAGUUGAACUACCAUAGUCCAAAUCUGAUACACUCUGAAUUUUGGAUGCAAUUGUGGUCAAACAAGUUUGAUUUGGUCAUUCAAACAUGCUUGAAACUGACUGACUUAACCAAUUGUUGUUCUGCGUAAAUUGCAUAUACUACUUGCCAAAUUUUGAGCCAAAACCGUAACAGUGCAGUGAACACAAUUUUUUUUGUUGUUUCAAUUUCUAAAUUGGAUUGGAUUGAUCGGUUGCAUUGAGGAUUUAGUAAAAGCCUUGGUUCCAAACAUAUAAAUUGAACAUUCAAAAGAGUUGAAAUCAUAGUAAGAGGCUGCAGGAACCAAUACAUCUGCAUUUCAAAGUUUAUUUGGUUCAGUUGGAUUAAACACUGGUGCAGUAGAAAUUGCCAGUUCUCUGUGACAUUUCUACAAACACUUUGAGCCAAAUUCUUUGCAUCACUAAUUUCGAAUGCAAUUUACAUUUCUGGUCUUUUAUUGCUUUUCUAAUAUACUCUAGAGCCAUUCUUAAGUUCAUUUUGUUGUUAUCCGAUUAAUUGAUUGAUUUUUAGUUAUUGAACAUCUUGCACACAACCUGUUUGAAGAAAGGUCUGUGCUGCUGUGGUUUUGGGUGCAGUUCUCUGGCAGUAUUAACGUGAUCUGCAAGUGCUAAUUUGUGUUGCUGAAUAGGUGUUCUAUAGCUCAGAUUAGUCACCACAUAAGGAAGCAUCAAAGGAGGUUCUUUGCUUGAGAAACAAAACUAUGAAGUGGCUUCACGGAAAAGGCAAAAACAUGAAAUGGCAGCAGUGUUGACAACCAUACAACAGCAGAAUUUUUUGUCUCAUACAACAACAGUUUUGACAGCAGAAGUUCAAUCACUUUGCAGCUGAGAGUUUAGUGUGAAUUGAAUCAAUUCACCCACUGUUUCUGAGAAGCUAGAGUUGCUUACAUCUUUUACCAUAAUCCUUUCUUCAUUUCCAUUCCAUUUCAUAUCAUUUUCUUUGUAAAAGUCAUUUGUUUUAUUGGUUUGUAAAGGGUCAUUUCAAGCAAGUGAAGUGGAAAAGCUCAUAAGUGUUCUUCCCUCAAUUGCUAACUUGACUUAAAGUCUCACCACUUUAAAAUUGGUAGACGGUGAGUGUGUCUUAGAUCCAAAGUCUAAGCCUCACCUAAGAGACCUCACCUUUACAUUUCAUUUCUUCAUUCCUUUUAAGCUUGUAAUUUUUUGUUUAGGAAACUUAGAGUUCGGCCUUAGAGUCUUAGUUGUUUUCAUGGCUUUUGAGUCUUCUUUUGUGAUCUUAGAAGUGAUCUUGGAGUAACAAUAACUAAGUAAGUAGCCUAGAACAUUUUUGGCAAGGAAAAGGCUUGGUACUUAAGCAACCCUAGUGGUUCACCUCCCUUACCUGGAAUUUGUUCUUGGGUGAAAUCUAAGGAAGUUGUAACACAAGAAAACUUUUACAAUCACAAAAUGUCAAAGCGACAAUCUCCAAGAGUUAGUGAUUCUGAGGAUCAAAUUACUCUCAAAGAUAUUUCAAAGCAACUCAGCGAACUAACUCAAUGGAGACUUGACAUUGAGAGAAAAAUGGAAUAUGCUCAACAAGAUAGGGAAAGAAAAAUCACCAUAAUUCAAGAUGAGUUGAGAGUCAUGAGAGAUGAGCAAGGAAGAGUGCGGGAAAGUAGAAGUGGAGAUUCCCACCAUGAGGUAGAGAACUUUAGAAUGAGAGAUUAUUAUGGGGAUUAUUCUUCUUCUAGAAGACAUAAGCGGGAAAUUCAAGAACCACCUCCCCCUAAAGAAGUCAAUAUCAACUUGCCCCACUUUCAUGGAAAAGAUGAUGUGUAGGCCUUUCUAGAUUGGGAAAUGAAGGUGGACCAACCUUUUGCUUGCCACCAAGUGAGUGAAGAGAGAAAGGUUCCUUUAGCUACCCUUAGCUUUCAAGGGUAUGCCAUGUAUUGGUGGACUGCCAUAGUGGAAGAAAGAAGGCACCACCAAAAUCCUCCAAUAAGAUAUUGGAAUGACUUGAUCACUGCCCUUAGGAGGAGACAUAUUCCCUCCUACUAUCAUAGAGAGCUUAUGCAUAAACUCCAAAGGCUACAACAAAAUUCUAUGUCUGUAGAACAAUAUAGACAAAAAAUGGAGUUGUAUAUGAUAAGGACAAGAAUUGAAGAAACAGAUAAACUCACAAUGGCUAGAUUUUUGAGUGGGCUCAAUUAUGAAAUUAGAGACAAGGUUGAACUUUUACCUUAAUAGAUUUGGAUAGUCUUGUCCAAAUGUGUAUCUAGGUAGAACAACAAAUUUUCAGAAAAUCCUCUCACAAGAGAGCUCAAGUUCAACCUUUUGAAAAAAGAAGUUUUAAAGAAAAAGAGCCAUUUAAACCUCUAGCCAAAAUUGUUGAGAAUCCCAAACAAGAGUCCUCUUCCCACCCUAGAACUAGUGAAAUCAAGUGUUUUAAUUGUCUAGGGAGAGGUCAUGUAGCUACUCAAUGUCCUACUAAGAGAAACAUCAUUCUAAAAGGAAAGGACAUUCAUAGUAGUGAAAGUGAAUCCCCUACUAGUGAGAGUGAGGGUGAGACUGAAAAAGAAGAGGAAUUGUUUGCGGAUGAUGGUCAACUUCUCAUGGUGAGAAGGGUGCUAAACAGUCAACCAAGUCUAGAAAAUCUAUCACAAAGAGAGAACAUCUUUCAUACAAGAUGUAAAGUUCAAGAAAAUCAUUGUUCUCUCAUUAUUGAUAGUGGUACUUGCUGCAAUUGUUGUAGCACAAGAUUGGUUGAGAAAUUGAAUCUUGUUGCAUACCCCAUCCUAAACCUUACAAACUUCAUUGGCUAAAUGAAGAUGGGGAUAUCACAAUCAAGACUCAAGUUAAGCUGGCAUUUUCCAUAGGGAACUUCAAAGAUGAAGUUAUUUGUGAUGUAGUUCCUAUGGAAGCUUGCCAUAUACUAUUGGGGAGACCAUGACAAUUUGAUCAUAAUACUAUACACCAUGGUCUAACCAAUACAAUCACAGUGCACAAAAAGGAUAAGAAAUAUGUGCUUCACCCUUUGACUCCUGCCCAGGUGGCUCAGGAUCAAGCACAAAUGAAGUCCACAAGGGACCAAGAAAAAGAACAAAAGAGGAAAAAAAGUUCAAAACAAAAGAAAGGAGCAGCCCUUAGAGAUGAGAAAGGGGUUUGGGAGUCUAGUGUUCCCUCCCACAAGGUUACUCAACAUGAAGUCCUUUUAAAUAAAAAAACUUUAUUCAAUACACUUCAAGUUGAGCAACCUUCAUACCUCCUUUGUCAAGGAACACUCACAUGCACAUCUAGUGAUUCUAAGACUUCUACUCCAUUUCUUUCAAUACAAAAACUUUUGAAGGAAUUUGGUGAUCUAUUUCCCAAAGAAAUUCCAAUUGGGCUUCCACCUUUAAGAGGGAUAGAACAUCAAAUUGACUUCAUUCCAGGGGAAACUCUUCCUAAUAGGCCUGCCUAUAGGACCAAUCCCCAAGAAACAAAAGAGAUUGAGUCACAAGUUCAAGAAUUACUAGAUAAGGGCUUGGUUCAAAAGAGCCUAAGCCCAUGUGAUGUACCUAUGUUGUUGGUGCCAAAAAAAAUGGAAAGUGGCGCAUGUGUUGUGAUUGUAGGGCUAUCAACAACAUCACAAUAAAAUACAGACAUCCCAUUCCUAGACUUGAUGAUAUGUUGGAUGAAUUACAUGGGGCUCAAAUUUUCUCAAAAAUAGAUCUUAAAAGUGGAUAUCAUCAAAUUCGAAUUAAAGAAGGAGAUGAAUGGAAAACUGCUCUUAAGACUAAGUUUGGUUUAUAUGAGUGGCUAAUAAUGCCUUUUGGUCUUACAAAUGCCCCAAGCACAUUCAUGAGACUUAUGAAUCAUAUUCUAAGGGAUUGCAUUGGGAAGUUUGUAGUUGUUUAUUUUGAUGACAUUUUGAUCUAUAGUUAAGACUUGCACAACCAUGAAAAACAGUUGAGAAUUGCUUUAACAAUUCUUAUAACCAACAAAUUGUUUGCAAAUCUUGACAAAUGCACUUUUUGUGUUGAUAGUGUCAUUUUUCUAGGUUUUGUAGUCAAUAAAAAUGGGGUUCAUGUUGACCCUGAGAAAAUAAAGGCUAUCCAAGAUUGGCCUCCCCCAAAGAAUGUAGGAGAAGUUAGGAAUUUUCAUGGAUUGGCAAGUUUUUAUAGAAGGUUUGUACCUAACUUCUCUAGUCUAGCUUCACCUCUCAAUGAGUUGGUGAAAAAGGAUUUUACAUUCAUUUGGGGAGAUAAACAACAAAAAGCUUUUGAGCUACUCUAAGAGAAGCUCACUAAAGCACCCAUUCUAGCUCUUCCCAACUUUUCAAAAACUUUUGAGCUAGAAUGUGAUGCUUCUAACAUAGAAUAGGUGCAGUAUUAUUACAAGAAGGACAUCCCAUUGCCUACUUUAGUGAAAAACUUCAUGGGGCUUCUUGUACCUAUCCCACCUAUGACAAGGAACUUUAUGCUCUUGUGAGGGCUCUUCAAACUUGGGAACAUUACCUUGUUUCCAAGGAGUUUGUCAUUCAUAGUGAUCAUGAAUCAUUAAAAUAUUUGAAGAGUCAACACAAGUUUCAAAAGAGGCAUGCUAAAUGGUUAGAAUUCAUUGAACAAUUCUCUUAUGUUAUCAAAUACAAGAAAGGAAAAUCCAAUGUUGUGGCGGAUGCUCUAUCAAGAAAAAUUAAUCUUUUAGCCACAUUGGGAGCUCAAAUUCUUGGGUUUGAUAACAUAACUGAGUUGUAUUCACAAGACCCUGAAUUUUCUCAUAUGUAUGAAGAAUGUCUCAACAAGGCCCAGGGAGGUUUUUAUGUGAGAGAGGGAUAUCUUUUUAAAGAAGGAAAAAUUUGUAUUCCUCAAUGAUCACAUAGAAAGCUCCUUAUCAAGGAAACACAUGAGGGAGGACUGAUGGGACAUUUUGGGGUCGAAAAAACCCUUGGCCUGUUAAAAGAGAAAUUCUUUUGGCCUCACAUGAGAAGGGAUGUUCAAAGGCAUUGUUUUAAGUGUAUCACUUGUUUGGAAUCAAAGUCUAAAUCAAUGCCUCAUGGACUUUACACACCUUUGCAUGUUGCUUCAACCCCUUGGGAAGAAAUUAGUAUGGAUUUUGUGUUAGGACUUCCUAAGACUGUUAGGGGUUUUGAUUCUAUAUUUGUGGUAGUGGAUAGAUUUAGCAAAAUGGCUCAUUUCAUACCUUGUCACAAAAUAGAUGAUGCAAGCAACAUUGCAAAGUUAUUUUUUAGAGAUGUGGUCAAACUUCAUGGCCUACCUAAAGUAAUAAUUUCGGAUAGAGAUACUAAAUUUCUUAGUCACUUUUGGAGAACCUUAUGGUCCCGAUUAGGGACUAAGUUAUCUUUUUCUACUACUUGCCAUCCACAAACAGAUGGUCAAACUGAAGUAGUCAAUAGAUCUCUCUCCAUAUUACUAAGGGUAGUUCUAAAGGGNAAUCACAAAUCUUGGGAUGAGUACCUUCCUCAUGUAGAGUUUGCCUAUAAUAGAGUAGUUCAUGGAACUACUAAAAUUUCUCCUUUUGAAGUUGUCUAUGGAUUCAACCCUUUGACACCUAUGGAUUUAAUACCUCUUCCAACUUCUUUUGACUUUGUUCAUCAAGAAGGGGUAUCUAAAUCUAAGUUUAUCAAAGAAUUUCAUCAAAGGGUUCGAGUUCAAAUUCAACAACAAAAUGAUAAAUAUGCCAAGAAACACAAUAAAGGCAAAAAGGAGUUGAUCUUCAAUGAAGGUGAUCUAGUUUGGGUUCAUCUUAGAAAGGAAAGGUUUCCUCAACUAAGAAAAUCCAAACUUAAUCCUCAAGGAGAUGGACCCUUUAGAGUUGUGAGUAGGAUAAGUAACAAUGCUUAUUAAAUAGAUCUUCCGCCAGCAUAUGGAGUCCAUUCUACCUUUAAUGUAUCUGACCUUGGACCUUUUGCAGGUUAUGAUUCUGAAGAAGAGGACGUUUCUCUGGAUUUGAGGACAAAUCCUUCUCAAGAGGGAGAAGAUGAUACACGGGGUCCUAGCAGCUUGCAUCCAAGUCCUAUAACAAGACAGAUGGCCAGGAAAUUACAACAAGAACUUCAAGAGCCAACACCAGAAGGUCAGAUAUUCUUUACAUGUUUUGAAUGGAAGCCAGGAGAGCAAGAUCAAGAGCCAAGAUGGUCCAAGGAAGGAAANGGUUAACACACUUCAUUAUCCUUACAUGUAUGGCACGACACAUUUCUUUUUCCAGUUGUCACACAUGUAACACAAGCUACUUGGUUAGAAAACAUUUUCCACAUGCUAAAUAAAACCUACAUUUUCCACAUGCUAAAUAAAACCUUCUAGAAGGCUAGCACAUGUUGCAUAUGGCUGCCUAUGUGGCAGCAGAUCCACAUUUCACGGAUCUAGUAUUUUCCUUCCCAAGGCCGAAGGGAAUUCUUAUAAAAACCCCAAGGCAACUUCUGUAUGAUACUUUU